rnacentral:tRNA from 1 species
GCCUCCGUAGUGUAGUGGUCAAGCAUUUCGGGCCUUCACCCCGACGACUCGAGUUCGAAUCUCGGCGGAGGCACCA